rnacentral:rRNA from 1 species
UUCGGAUUGUAGGCUGAAACUCGCCUACAUGAAGCUGGAGUUGCUAGUAAUCGCGAAUCAGCAUGUCGCGGUGAAUACGUUCCCGGGCCUUGUACACACCGCCCGUCACACCAUGAGAGUUGGCAAUACCCAACGUACGUGAUCUAACCCGCAAGGGAGGAAGCGUCCUAAGGUAGGGUCAGCGAUUGGGGUGAAGUCGUAACAAGGUAGC